rnacentral:rRNA from 1 species
GGUUAAGCGACUAAGCGUACACGGUGGAUGCCCUGGCAGUCAGAGGCGAUGAAGGACGUGCUAAUCUGCGAAAAGCGUCGGUAAGGUGAUAUGAACCGUUACAGCCGGCGAUGUCCGAAUGGGGAAACCCAGUGCAAUUCGUUGCACUAUCGUUAACUGAAUACAUAGGUUAACGAGGCGAACCGGGGGAACUGAAACAUCUAAGUACCCCGAGGAAAAAAAAUCAACCGAGAUUCCCCCAGUAGCGGCGAGCGAACGGGGAGCAGCCCAGAGUCUGAAUCAGCUUGUGUGUUAGUGGAACGGUCUGGAAAGUCCGACGGUACAGGGUGAUAGUCCCGUACACCAAAAUGCACAGGCUGUGAACUCGAAGAGUAGGGCGGGACACGUGGUAUCCUGUCUGAAUAUGGGGGGACCAUCCUCCAAGGCUAAAUACUCCUGACUGACCGAUAGUGAACCAGUACCGUGAGGGAAAGGCGAAAAGAACCCCGGCGAGGGGAGUGAAAAAGAACCUGAAACCGUGUACGUACAAGCAGUGGGAGCACCUUCGGGUGUGACUGCGUACCUUUUGUAUAAUGGGUCAGCGACUUAUAUUCUGUAGCAAGGUUAACCGUAUAGGGGAGCCGCAGGGAAACCGAGUCUUAACUGGGCGUUAAGUUGCAGGGUAUAGACCCGAAACCCGGUGAUCUAGCCAUGGGCAGGUUGAAGGUUGGGUAACACUAACUGGAGGACCGAACCGACUAAUGUUGAAAAAUUAGCGGAUGACUUGUGGCUGGGGGUGAAAGGCCAAUCAAACCGGGAGAUAGCUGGUUCUCCCCGAAAGCUAUUUAGGUAGCGCCUCGUGAAUUCAUCUUCGGGGGUAGAGCACUGUUUCGGCUAGGGGGUCAUCCCGACUUACCAACCCGAUGCAAACUACGAAUACCGAAGAAUGUUAUCACGGGAGACACACGGCGGGUGCUAACGUCCGUCGUGAAGAGGGAAACAACCCAGACCGCCAGCUAAGGUCCCAAAGUCAUGGUUAAGUGGGAAACGAUGUGGGAAGGCACAGACAGCCAGGAUGUUGGCUUAGAAGCAGCCAUCAUUUAAAGAAAGCGUAAUAGCUCACUGGUCGAGUCGGCCUGCGCGGAAGAUGUAACGGGGCUAAACCAUGCACCGAAGCUGCGGCAGCGACACUAUGUGUUGUUGGGUAGGGGAGCGUUCUGUAAGCCUGCGAAGGUGACCUGUGAGGGUUGCUGGAGGUAUCAGAAGUGCGAAUGCUGACAUAAGUAACGAUAAAGCGGGUGAAAAGCCCGCUCGCCGGAAGACCAAGGGUUCCUGUCCAACGUUAAUCGGGGCAGGGUGAGUCGACCCCUAAGGCGAGGCCGAAAGGCGUAGUCGAUGGGAAACAGGUUAAUAUUCCUGUACUUGGUGUUACUGCGAAGGGGGGACGGAGAAGGCUAUGUUAGCCGGGCGACGGUUGUCCCGGUUUAAGCAUGUAGGCUGGUUAUCCAGGCAAAUCCGGAUAAUCAAGGCUGAGGUGUGAUGACGAGGCACUACGGUGCUGAAGUAACAAAUGCCCUGCUUCCAGUGAAAAGCCUCUAAGCAUCAGGUAACAUCAAAUCGUACCCCAAACCGACACAGGUGGUCAGGUAGAGAAUACCAAGGCGCUUGAGAGAACUCGGGUGAAGGAACUAGGCAAAAUGGUGCCGUAACUUCGGGAGAAGGCACGCUGGUGUGUAGGUGAAGUCCCUGCGGAUGGAGCUGAGACCAGUCGAAGAUACCAGCUGGCUGCAACUGUUUAUUAAAAACACAGCACUGUGCAAACACGAAAGUGGACGUAUACGGUGUGACGCCUGCCCGGUGCCGGAAGGUUAAUUGAUGGGGUUAUCCGUAAGGAGAAGCUCUUGAUCGAAGCCCCGGUAAACGGCGGCCGUAACUAUAACGGUCCUAAGGUAGCGAAAUUCCUUGUCGGGUAAGUUCCGACCUGCACGAAUGGCGUAAUGAUGGCCAGGCUGUCUCCACCCGAGACUCAGUGAAAUUGAACUCGCUGUGAAGAUGCAGUGUACCCGCGGCAAGACGGAAAGACCCCGUGAACCUUUACUAUAGCUUGACACUGAACAUUGAGCCUUGAUGUGUAGGAUAGGUGGGAGGCUUUGAAGCGUGGACGCCAGUCUGCGUGGAGCCAACCUUGAAAUACCACCCUUUAAUGUUUGAUGUUCUAACGUUGGCCCCUGACCGGGGUUGCGGACAGUGUCUGGUGGGUAGUUUGACUGGGGCGGUCUCCUCCCAAAGCGUAACGGAGGAGCACGAAGGUUAGCUAAUCCUGGUCGGACAUCAGGAGGUUAGUGCAAUGGCAUAAGCUAGCUUGACUGCGAGCGUGACGGCGCGAGCAGGUGCGAAAGCAGGUCAUAGUGAUCCGGUGGUUCUGAAUGGAAGGGCCAUCGCUCAACGGAUAAAAGGUACUCCGGGGAUAACAGGCUGAUACCGCCCAAGAGUUCAUAUCGACGGCGGUGUUUGGCACCUCGAUGUCGGCUCAUCACAUCCUGGGGCUGAAGUAGGUCCCAAGGGUAUGGCUGUUCGCCAUUUAAAGUGGUACGCGAGCUGGGUUUAGAACGUCGUGAGACAGUUCGGUCCCUAUUCGCCGUGGGCGCUGGAGAAUUGAGGGGGGCUGCUCCUAGUACGAGAGGACCGGAGUGGACGCAUCACUGGUGUUCGGGUUGUCAUGCCAAUGGCACUGCCCGGUAGCUAAAUGCGGAAGAGAUAAGUGCUGAAAGCAUCUAAGCACGAAACUUGCCCCGAGAUGAGUUCUCCCUGAGACUUUAAGUCUCCUGAAGGAACGUUAAAGACGAUGACGUUGAUAGGCCGGGUGUGUAAGCGCAGCGAUGCGUUGAGCUAACCGGUACUAAUGAACCGUGAGGCUUAACCUU